UACGGAAGGCAGCAGUGGGGAAUAUUGCACAAUGGGCGCAAGCCUGAUGCAGCCAUGCCGCGUGUAUGAAAAAGGCCUUCGGGUUGUAAAGUACUUUCAGUCGUGAGGAAGGUGUUAAGGUUAAUAACCUUAGCAAUUGACGUUAGCGACAGAAGAAGCACCGGCUAACUCCGUGCCAGCAGCCGCGGUAAUACGGAGGGUGCGAGCGUUAAUCGGAAUUACUGGGCGUAAAGGGCACGCAGGCGGUUAAUUAAGUUGGAUGUGAAUCCCCGGGCUUAACCUGGGAAUGGCAUUCAAGACUGGUUAGCUAGAGUCUUGUAGAGGGGGGUAGAAUUCCGAUGUGUAGCGGUGAAAUGCGUAGAGAUGUGGAGGAAUACCGGUGGCGAAGGCGGCCCCUGGACAAAGACUGACGCUCAUGUGCGAAAGCGUGGGGAGCAAACAGGGAUUAGAUACC
rnacentral:rRNA from 1 species